UUUAAGAGUGUUCCUGCCUCGUCAAAUUUAACUGAUCUUCUGAACAUUCACACACCACUGAAGGAACUUUAGUUUGGCUGGUUAGUUUCUCAGGAUCCAAACAUAAAGAGUUCCAUCAUCGAUAUGGAUGCUGCAAUAAAAACACAGGAAGCCAUCAGUUUUGAAACUGCCCACAUUAGAAAGGUGAAACCUCUGCCUACCCUUGAAGCAGAUUCAGAUAUGGCCCCUGUCUCUCUGGCCGUAUUGUAAGUUAGCAUGCACUACCCCUCAACACACACUGUUUUUUUUUUUUCCUUUAGAAAAAAGGGAACUUGAGUUGCCUUUUCCAGAUCAGAUAUGCAGGAUGAGGCUUGUGGAAGAAACACAAGCACAUGUUUACAUAGACAUAAGGAAAUUCUGUAAUGGCAGCAUACCUCUGGCAGAAACAUCAGAGGCCCAUGGACUGGGGAUGUUUAUAUGACCAGAGAGCCUGGAGAUGGAACUGAGAUAUGAGUGCUGAUCUGUGAAAGGAACCACUGCUGUAAAUCGCUGCUGCUCGCCAUCCCACACAAAUGCCAUCUGGCUGUUCCACGAGUCACGGAAACAACGUCACACCUGCACACUUCCAGAACCACAGCUAGUGUGUGAUUCAACAUAUGCGUGAUAAACUGGUUUUCUUAUCUGGACCGGUUUUAAGUCUCGAGGGGCUUAGUUGAUUUUUGACAACAACCUCUUUCUUGGUUUCCACAACAAUACU